rnacentral:rRNA from 1 species
GAUGAACGCUGGCGGCGUGCCUAAUACAUGCAAGUCGAGCGAACAGACGAGGAGCUUGCUCCUCUGACGUUAGCGGCGCACGGGUGAGUAACACGUGGAUAACCCACCUAUAAGUCUGGGAUCACUUCGGGAAACCGGAGCUUAUACCGGAUAAUAUAUUGAACCGCAGGGUUCAAUAGUGAAAGUCGGUUUUGCUGUCACUUAUAGAUGGAUCCGCGCCGCAUUAGCUAGUUGGUAAGGUAACGGGUUACCAAGGCAACUAGGCGUAGCCGACGUGAGAGAGUGGUCGGCCACACUGGAACUGAGACACGGUCCAGGCUCCUACGGGAGGCAGCAGUAGGGAAUCUUCCGCAAUAGGCGAAAGCUUGACGGAGCAGCGCCGCGUGAGUGAUGAAGGUCUUCGGAUCGUAAAACUCUGUUAUUAGGGAAGAACAAAUGUGUAAGUAACUAUGCACGUCUUGACGGUACCUAAUCAGAAAGCCACGGCUAACUACGUG